rnacentral:misc_RNA from 1 species
GAUGAAGAACGUAGCGAAAUGCGAUAAGUAGUGUGAAUUGCAGAAUUCAGUGAAUCAUCGAAUCUUUGAACGCACAUUGCGCCCUUUGGUAUUCCUUAGGGCAUGCCUGUUCGAGCGUCAUUUAAACCUUCAAGCUCAGCUUGGUGUUGGGUGACUGCCCGCUUCACCGCGGACUCGCCUCAAAAUUAUUGGCGGCCGGUACAUUGGCUUCGAGCGCAGCAGAAACGCGAACUCGGGCCCGUCGUAUUGGCUCCCAGAAGCUAUCUUCACAAUUUUGACCUCGGAUCAGGUAGGGAUACCCGCUGAACUUAAGCAUAUCAAUAAGCGGAGGA